UAGGGAAUUUUCGUCAAUGGGGGCAACCCUGAACGAGCAAUGCCGCGUGAGCGAAGAAGGUCUUCGGAUUGUAAAGCUCUGUUGCCGGGGAAAAAGGAAGGAAAGAGGAAAUGGCUUUUCUUUGGAUGGUACCCGGCCAGAAAGUCACGGCUAACUACGUGCC
rnacentral:rRNA from 1 species